UACGUAGGUGGCAAGCGUUGUUCGGAAUUAUUGGGCGUAAAGGGCGCGUAGGCGGUUUGUUAAGUCGGCUGUGAAAGCCUGGGGCUCAACCCCAGAGGGUCGGCCGAUACUGGCAAACUAGAGUACGGAAGAGGUAGCUGGAAUUCCCGGUGUAGCGGUGAAAUGCGUAGAUAUCGAGAGGAACACCAGUGGCGAAGGCGAGUCUCUGGGAUGAUGCUGACGCUGAGGCGCGAAAGCCAGGGGAGCAAACGGG
rnacentral:rRNA from 1 species